rnacentral:rRNA from 1 species
GAUGAACGCUGGCGGCGUGCCUAAUACAUGCAAGUCGAGCGAACGGACGAGAAGCUUGCUUCUCUGAUGUUAGCGGCGGACGGGUGAGUAACACGUGGAUAACCUACCUAUAAGACUGGGAUAACUUCGGGAAACCGGAGCUAAUACCGGAUGAUAUUUUGAACCGCAUGGUUCAAAAGUGAAAGACGGUCUUGCUGUCACUUAUAGAUGGAUCCGCGCUGCAUUAGCUAGUUGGUAAGGUAACGGCUUACCAAGGCAACGAUGCAUAGACGACCUGAGAGGGUGAUCGGCCACACUGGAACUGAGACACGGUCCAGACUACUACGGGAGGCAGCAGUAGGGAAUCUUCCGCAAUGGGCGAAAGCAUGACGGAGCAACGCCGAGUGAGUGAUGAAGGUCUUCGGAUCGUAAAACUCUGUUAUUAGGGAAGAACAUAUGUGUAAGUAACUGUGCACAUCUUGACGGUACCUAAUCAGAAAGCAACGGCUAACUACGUG